rnacentral:rRNA from 1 species
AUUGAACGCUGGCGGUAUGCUUAACACAUGCAAGUCGAACGGUAGCAGGCCUUCGGGCGCUGACGAGUGGCGGACGGGUGAGUAACGCGUAGGAAUCUGCCUCAUAGUGGGGGACAACGUGGGGAAACUCACGCUAAUACCGCAUACGCCCUACGGGGGAAAGCGGGGGCUCUUCGGACCUCGCGCUAUGAGAUGAGCCUGCGUUAGAUUAGCUAGUUGGUAGGGUAAAAGCCUACCAAGGCGACGAUCUAUAGCUGGUCUGAGAGGACGAUCAGGCAGACUGGGACUGGGACACGGCCCAGACUCCUACGGGAGGCAGCAGUGGGGAAUAUUGGACAAUGGGCGCAAGCCUGAUCCAGCAAUACCGCGUGUGUGAAGAAGGCCCUAGGGUUGUAAAGCACUUUCAAUUGGGAGGAAAACCUGCCGGUCAAUACCCGGCAGCUUGACAUUACCUUUAGAAGAAGCACCGGCUAACUCCGUGCCAGCCGCCGCGGUAACAC